rnacentral:rRNA from 1 species
GAUUAAGUUAUUAAGGGCGCACGGUGGAUGCCUUGGCACUAGAAGCCGAUGAAGGACGUUACUAACGACGAUAUGCUUUGGGGAGCUGUAAGUAAGCUUUGAUCCAGAGAUUUCCGAAUGGGGAAACCCAGCAUGAGUUAUGUCAUGUUAUCGAUAUGUGAAUACAUAGCAUAUCAGAAGGCACACCCGGAGAACUGAAACAUCUUAGUACCCGGAGGAAGAGAAAGAAAAUUCGAUUCCCUUAGUAGCGGCGAGCGAAACGGGAAGAGCCCAAACCAACAAGCUUGCUUGUUGGGGUUGUAGGACACUCUAUACGGAGUUACAAAGGACGACAUUAGACGAAUCAUCUGGAAAGAUGAAUCAAAGAAGGUAAUAAUCCUGUAGUCGAAAAUGUUGUCUCUCUUGAGUGGAUCCUGAGU